GAUGAACGCUGGCGGCGUGCCUAAUACAUGCAAGUCGAGCGAACAGACGAGGAGCUUGCUCCUUUGACGUUAGCGGCGGACGGGUGAGUAACACGUGGGUAACCUACCUAUAAGACUGGGAUAACUUCGGGAAACCGGAGCUAAUACCGGAUAAUAUUUCGAACCGCAUGGUUCGAUAGUGAAAGAUGGCUCUGCUAUCACUUAUAGAUGGACCUGCGCCGUAUUAGCUAGUUGGUAAGGUAACGGCUUACCAAGGCAACGAUACGUAGCCGACCUGAGAGGGUGAUCGGCCACACUGGAACUGAGACACGGUCCAGACUCCUACGGGAGGCAGCAGUAGGGAAUCUUCCGCAAUGGGCGAAAGCCUGACGGAGCAACGCCGCGUGAGUGAUGAAGGUCUACGGAUCGUAAAACUCUGUUAUUAGGGAAGAACAAACGUGUAAGUAACUGUGCACGUCUUGACGGUACCUAAUCAGAAAGCCACGGCUAACUACGUG
rnacentral:rRNA from 1 species